UACAGAGGUCUCAAGCGUUGUUCGGAUUCAUUGGGCGUAAAGGGUGCGUAGGCGGUCUGUUAAGUUGGAUGUGAAAACUCUGGGCUCAACCCAGAGCCUGCAUCCAAAACUGGCAGGCUAGAGUUCUGGAGGGGGUAGCGGAAUUCCUGGUGUAGCGGUGAAAUGCGUAGAUAUCAGGAGGAACACCGGUGGCGAAGGCGGCUACCUGGACAGAAACUGACGCUGAGGCACGAAAGCUAGGGGAGCAAACAGG
rnacentral:rRNA from 1 species